CCAUUUUAACUGAACAGAGCAGGAGGAGGAAAACUGAAGGCUGAGGCAGGACUGACUUAAGUCCAGAAUAUGAGUGAUUGUGUGAAGGAAAAGGACAGAGCAGAGUGUCCAGGAUCCAGCUGUCUGUCUAUGAAGAGUGACUGGUCCAAAGAGUUGAAUCCUCCAGCCUUCAGUAAUGAACCUGGACCCUCAGACACAAAAGAUCAGGACCACAGACUGAGA